AGUGAACGCUGGCGGUAGGCCUAACACAUGCAAGUCGAACGGCAGCACAGUAAGAGCUUGCUCUUACGGGUGGCGAGUGGCGGACGGGUGAGGAAUACAUCGGAAUCUACUUUUUCGUGGGGGAUAACGUAGGGAAACUUACGCUAAUACCGCAUACGACCUACGGGUGAAAGCAGGGGAUCUUCGGACCUUGCGCGAUUGAAUGAGCCGACGUCGGAUUAGCUAGUUGGCGGGGUAAAGGCCCACCAAGGCGACGAUCCGUAGCUGGUCUGAGAGGAUGAUCAGCCACACUGGAACUGAGACACGGUCCAGACUCCUACGGGAGGCAGCAGUGGGGAAUAUUGGACAAUGGGCGCAAACCUGAUCCAGCCAUACCGCGUGGGUGAAGAAGGCCUUCGGGUUGUAAAGCCCUUUUGUUGGGAAAGAAAAGCAGCAGGUUAAUACCCCGCUGUUCUGACGGUACCCAAAGAAUAAGCACCGGCUAACUUCGUG
rnacentral:rRNA from 1 species